UCGAGGAUCAUUCGCAAUGGGCGAAAGCCUGACGAUGCGACGCCGUGUGAGCGAUGAAGGCCUUCGGGUUGUAAAGCUCUUUCGCUUGGGAACAAGAGAUCGUGGUGAAUAGCCAUGAGAUUUGAGGGUACCAGGUAAAGAAGCACCGGCUAACUCCGUGCCAGCAGCUGCGGUAAUACGGAGGGUGCAAGCAUUAAUCGGAUUUAUUGGGCGUAAAGGGCGCGUAGGCGGGUGCGUAAGUCGAGUGUGAAAUUCCAAAGCUCAACUUUGGGACUGCACUUGAAACUACGAAUCUAGAGGAAUGGCGGAGAAAAUGGAAUUCCACGUGUAGCGGUGAAAUGCGUAGAUAUGUGGAAGAACACCUGUGGCGAAAGCGGUUUUCUAGCUUUUACCUGACGCUGAGGCGCGAGAGCAAGGGGAGCAAACAGGAUUAGAUACCCCCGUAGUCC
rnacentral:rRNA from 1 species